rnacentral:misc_RNA from 1 species
GUAGGUGAACCUGCGGAAGGAUCAUUAAAGAAUGCCCCGUUUUUCGAAAUGGGUUCUAUUCCCAAACCGUGUAUACAUACCUUUGUUGCUUUGGCAGGCCGCCUUCGGGCGUCGGCUCACGCUGACCGCGCCUGCCAGAGGACCCAAACUCUUUUGUUUAGUGAUGUCUGAGUAUAAUAUAAAUCGUUUUAAAAACUUUCAACAACGGAUCUCUUGGUUCUGGCAUCGAUGAAGAACGCAGCAUCUGACU